rnacentral:rRNA from 1 species
AUUGAACGCUGCGGCAGGCUUAACACAUGCAAGUCGAGCGAGCGGCGGACGGGUGAGUAAUGCUUAGGAAUCUGCCUAUUAGUGGGGGACGACAUCUCGAAAGGGAUGCUCAUACCUCAUACUACUAGUUGAGCCUAAGGCGGAUUAGCUAGUUGGUGGGGUAAGGGCCUACCAAGGCGACGCGCUGUAGCGGGUCUGAGAGGAUGAUCAGCCAAACUGGAACUGAGACACGGUCCAGACUCCUACGGGAGGCAGCAGUGGGGAAUAUUGCACAAUGGGCGCAAGCCUGAUGCAGCCAUGCCGCGUGUGUGAAGAAGGCCUUCGGGUUGUAAAGCACUUUCAGCGGGGAGGCGUUACCCGCAGAAGAAGCACCGGCUAACUCCGUGCCAGCAGCCGCGGUAAUAC